CUCCCCUUAGUUCAGCGGAUAGUAACAAUGGUCUUCUAAACCAUAAACCCCAGUUCGAGUCUGGGAGGGGAGA
rnacentral:tRNA from 1 species